UACGAAGGGGGCUAGCGUUGCUCGGAAUCACUGGGCGUAAAGCGCCCGUAGGCGGAUUGUUAAGUCAGGGGUGAAAUCCUGGAGCUCAACUCCAGAACUGCCUUUGAUACUGGCGAUCUUGAGUCCGGGAGAGGUGAGUGGAACUGCGAGUGUAGAGGUGAAAUUCGUAGAUAUUCGCAAGAACACCAGUGGCGAAGGCGGCUCACUGGCCCGGUACUGACGCUGAGGUGCGAAAGCGUGGGGAGCAAACAGG
rnacentral:rRNA from 1 species